CACCCCAAUAUUUAGUAAUUCAUUACUGAUUUGAUCGAACUUCUAAAUGUAUACCACGAUAUCUCUAUCUUCCCGCAUCUGAAGGCUGUACAGUCAUUUUUUCAACAUCAACUUGUUGCACAUAUUCUUUUUCAUGUACAGGGUGUGCAACUUUGACCAUAAUUUCUUUAGGGUCCUCUCUUCUAGCACCGAAUAGAGGGCCGAAUCC
rnacentral:lncRNA from 1 species